GGAAUGUAGCUCAGUGGUAGAGUGUUUGCCUAGGGUGCGCAGGGCUCUGGGUUCCAGCUCCAGUACCA
rnacentral:tRNA from 1 species